CGUCCUACGGGGCGCAGCAGUGAGGAAUAUUGGUCAAUGGGCGGGAGCCUGAACCAGCCAAGUCGCGUGAGGGAAGACGGUCCUAUGGAUUGUAAACCUCUUUAGGCGGGGAGCAAUGCCGGGCACGCGUGCCCGGAGGGAGGGUACCCGUAGAACAAGCAUCGGCUAACUCCGUGCCAGCAGCCGCGGUAAUACGGAGGAUUCGAGCGUUAUCCGGAUUUAUUGGGUUUAAAGGGUGCGCAGGCGGCACGGCAAGCCGGCGGUCAAA
rnacentral:rRNA from 1 species